rnacentral:rRNA from 1 species
UCCUGGCUCAGGACGAACGCUGGCGGCGUGCCUAAUACAUGCAAGUCGAGCGAAUCUGAGGGAGCUUGCUCCCAAAGAUUAGCGGCGGACGGGUGAGUAACACGUGGGUAACCUGCCUGUAAGAUUGGGAUAACUCCGGGAAACCGGAGCUAAUACCGGAUAAUAAUUUGAACCGCAUGGUUCAAAUUUGAAAGAUGGCUUCUCGCUAUCACUUACAGAUGGACCCGCGGCGCAUUAGCUAGUUGGUGAGGUAACGGCUCACCAAGGCAACGAUGCGUAGCCGACCUGAGAGGGUGAUCGGCCACACUGGGACUGAGACACGGCCCAGACUCCUACGGGAGGCAGCAGUAGGGAAUCUUCCGCAAUGGACGAAAGUCUGACGGAGCAACGCCGCGUGAACGAUGAAGGCCUUCGGGUCGUAAAGCUCUGUUGUUAGGGAAGAACAAGUGCUAGAGUAACUGCUAGCACCUUGACGGUACCUAACCAGAAAGCCACGGCUAACUACGUG